ACGGGUGAGUAAUGCUUGGGAAUCUGGCUUAUGGAGGGGGAUAACUACGGGAAACUGUAGCUAAUACCGCGUAAUAUCGAAAGAUUAAAGUGUGGGACCUUCGGGCCACACGCCAUAAGAUGAGCCCAAGUGGGAUUAGGUAGUUGGUUAGGUAAAGGCUGACCAAGCCGACGAUCUCUAGCUGGUCUGAGAGGAUGACCAGCCACACUGGAACUGAGACACGGUCCAGACUCCUACGGGAGGCAGCAGUGGGGAGUAUUGCACAAUGGGGGGAACCCUGAUGCAGCCAUGCCGCGUGAAUGAAGAAGGCCUUCGGGUUGUAAAGUUCUUUCGGUGACGAGGAAGGUUGGUAUGUUAAUAGCAUAUCAAAUUGACGUUAUUCACAGAAGAAGCACCGGCUAACUCCGUGGCAGCAGCCGCGGUAAUACUGGGGGUGCGAGCGGUUAUUCGGAAUAACUGGGCGUAAAGGCACGCAGGCGGUGACUUAAGUGAGUGUGAAAGCCCCGGGCUAACUGGGAAUGCAUUCCUAAUGGGUCGCUAAAGUACUUUAGGAAGGGUAGGAUCCACGGUAGUGUGAAAUGCGAAGAUUUGAGAUACGAAGGAAGCGCCCUUGGAAUACUGCGCUCUUGCGAAGCUGGGACAACGGAUAGAUCUGGAUUCACCUUAACAAGCAAUGG
rnacentral:rRNA from 1 species